rnacentral:tRNA from 1 species
GUCUCUUUCGUCUAAGGGUUAGGACAUUGCCCUUUCAAGGCAGGAAUGCGAGUUCAAAUCUCGUAAGAGGCG